AACGAACGCUGGCGGCAGGCCUAACACAUGCAAGUCGAACGCUCGUAGCAAUACGGGAGUGGCAGGCGGGUGAGUAACACGUGGGAACCUUCCCUAUGGUUCGGAAUAGCUCAGGGAAACUUGGGGUAAUACCGGAUAAGCCCUUCGGGGAAGGAUUUAUUCGCCAUUGGAUGGGCCCGGCGUCGGAUUAGCUAGUUGGUGAGGUAACGGCUCACCAAGGCAACGAUCCGUAGCUGGUCUGAGAGGAUGAUCAGCCACACUGGGACUGAGACACGGCCCAGACUCCUACGGGAGGGCAGCAGUGGGGAAUAUUGGACAAUGGGCGCAAGCCUGAUCCAGCCAUGCCG
rnacentral:rRNA from 1 species